GGCUUCAUAGCUAAGUUGGUAGAGCAUCAGCACUAGUAACGCGGAGGUCACGGGCUCAAAUCCCGUUGAAGCCU